rnacentral:rRNA from 1 species
UACAGAGGGUGCAAACGUUGUUCGGAUUUACUGGGCGUAAAGGGCUCGUAGGUGGCCAACUAAGUCAGACGUGAAAUCCCUCGGCUUAACCGGGGAACUGCGUCUGAUACUGGAUGACUGGAGAUUGGGAGAGGGAUGCGGAAUUCCGAGGUGUAGCGGUGAAAUGCGUAGAUAUCUGGAGGAACACCGGUGGCGAAGGCGGCAUCCUGGACCAACACUGACGCUGAGGAGCGAAAGCCAGGGGAGCAAACGGGAUAGAAAC